CACGUAGGGGGCGAGCGUUGUCCGGAUUUAUUGGGCGUAAAGAGCUCGUAGGCGGCUUGGCAAGUCGGGUGUGAAACCUCCAGGCUCAACCUGGAGACGCCACCCGAUACUGCCAUGGCUAGAGUCCGGUAGGGGACCACGGAAUUCCUGGUGUAGCGGUGAAAUGCGCAGAUAUCAGGAGGAACACCGGUGGCGAAGGCGGUGGUCUGGGCCGGCACUGACGCUGAGGAGCGAAAGCGUGGGGAGCGAACAGG
rnacentral:rRNA from 1 species